rnacentral:rRNA from 1 species
UACGGAGGGUGCAAGCGUUAUCCGGAUUCACUGGGUUUAAAGGGUGCGUAGGAGGGCAGGUAAGUCAGUGGUGAAAUCUCCAAGCUUAACUUGGAAACUGCCGUUGAUACUAUCUGUCUUGAAUAUUGUGGAGGUGAGCGGAAUAUGUCAUGUAGCGGUGAAAUGCUUAGAUAUGACAUAGAACACCAAUUGCGAAGGCAGCUCACUACACAAUCAUUGACUCUGAGGCACGAAAGCGUGGGGAGCAAACGGG